rnacentral:misc_RNA from 1 species
AACGCACAUUGCGCUUCCUGGUAUUCCGGGGAGCACGCCCGUUCCAGAAUCAAUAAAACCUCACCAGGCUUGGUGCUUUCGAGCAUUUGGCAAUGGUGGAGUUGGAUUUUUGCGUCAGCAAUCAUCUGAAAAUGAUUGUAUGUGCACCAAUUGCUUGGUCUUUUGGUUGUCAAAGUGCAACAGAUUUUUCUAUUUCGCUUGGACGAUCGAGGGACUGGUUUGAUGUGCAUACUCCCCUCAUUACACGGAAUUUGAAUCUGAUGGUUCGGGUUCUGAUAACUUGAUCUGGAAUCGGGCGGGAAAACCCGCUGAACUUAA